GAGUUUUUCGAAUUCUUUCGUCCCCGAAAAUCUUUCUUAUUUGCUCCCCAAAUCUCUUCCUAAUUUAUAUCUUACCGAUAUAUUUUCGUUAUAUUUUCCAGGCUUGUAUUGGAUUAACUAUGUUUCUUUUAUUUUUGUAGUUUUUAUUCCAUGAGCCUCAGCGUUUUUGAAUAGGAAAAGAUAACCUCAAAUUUGGGGGUUUUAUAUUAGAUGGCUUUUAUCCCAAUUUUUAAGAACGAACCCUAGCCUCAUCAGUCAUCACUGCAGUGAUUCCAAGACAGCUAUAAUUCCGUCAACUCAAGGGUGUAGGAAAUGAAGCUUUAGAAGGUGGGAAGUACAAAGCAUCAGUGGAGCAUUAUAUUAACUCUAUAGAGACGACAUGUAUUGAAUUAAUGUCUUUUACUUCUAUCUGCUUAUGCAGUCGUGCUACUGCAAAUUAAGCUUCUAUUCAAAUCAUUGGUUCAAUUGCAUAUUGCAAUCUUGCUAUAGCCCUCGAUGGGGGUUACAUAAAGGUUCUUUAGAAUUUCUUUUUGGGAUAUGUUGUGUUUCAGGGUCAUUAUUGAAUAUACUCAUGUUUUUGUGAUUGUGAUUAUAUAAACCUGCAGCAUUCUCAUAUUUGCAGACAAUUUUAAGAGGGCCAAUCUACAUGAGCUUUGUAGCAAGUACACUUAUGAGCUAUGUAUUAUGGUUUGUACAUGAAGGAUCUUUAGUUUGACAAAAUUAAUCAUUUUCUUUAUUUUAAUAUUGCAACAAGAAGGUGAUUCAGGUUAAAAAUGAGGGCAACGCUGGUAAUGGAUUAAGGUGCCCGAGAUGUGGAGAUAACUCCAAAUCACUUAUUCCAAAGAACCUGUAGGCGACACAAAUAUAUUGCCCCAACAUGCUAACUCCAUUACAGCUGGACGCAGUUUCGUGAAGUUGCAAAGGCGGCCACUUUGUAUCAAUAAAGAUGACGAGUGGUAUGCAGUGAUGAGGAGUAUUAAGCCGUGUUGGAGUACUUGCUUUAUUCAAUAAUACUUUUGUUUUUCAUCUUGAUUUGGAUUUUUUUGGGCCUCGAUUUUGAUGUUAUGUUUUGACCUCCAAUUUUUUGUCAGUGUUAAUGCAUUUGACAAUUUUUUUAUUUAGUUGGAUUAACUAUGUUUGUUUUUGUUGCAUUUCAAUUUUUAUGAAUCACGUAGUUGAUCACAAAUAACGGUGCACCUCCAA